CUAUGGGUCGCAGCAGUAAGGAAUAUUGCGCAAUGGAGGCAACUCUGACGCAGCCAUGCCGCGUGCAGGAAGAAGGCCUUAUGGGUCGUAAACUGCUUUUAUUUAGGAAUAAACCCCCGAACGUGUUCGGGGCUGAAGGUACUAAACGAAUAAGCACCGGCUAACUCCGUGCCAGCAGCCGCGGUAAUACGGAGGGUGCAAGCGUUAUCCGGAUUUAUUGGGUUUAAAGGGUGCGCAGGCGGGCUAUUAAGUCAGUGGUGAAAUCCCGGGGCUCAACUCCGGAACUGCCAUUGAUACUGAUAGUCUUGAGUUUGGUUGAAGUGGGCGGAAUGUAGCAUGUAGCGGUGAAAUGCAUAGAUAUGCUACAGAACACCAAUCGCGAAGGCAGCUCACUAAGCCAAAACUGACGCUCAUGCACGAAAGCGUGGGGAUCAAACAGGAUUAGAUACCCCCGUAGUC
rnacentral:rRNA from 1 species